GAAAUGCGAUAAGUAGUGUAAAUUGCAGAAUUUAGUAAAUUAUCGAAUCUUUAAACGCACAUUGCGCCCCUUAGUAUUCUAUAGGGCAUGCCUAUUCGAGCGUUAUUUGUACCCUUAAGCUUUGCUUAGUGUUAGGCGUUUUGUCUCCCCUUAGGAGACUCGCCUUAAAACAAUUAGCAGCCGGCAUAUUAGUAUUAGAGCGCAGCACAAGUCGCGCUUCUUUCUAUAAAUGUUAGCGUCUAUUAAGACUAUUUUUCACUCUUAACCUUAGAUUAGGUAGGGAUACCCGCUGAACUUAA
rnacentral:misc_RNA from 1 species